rnacentral:misc_RNA from 1 species
AACGGAUUGCGAGUAACGGUCAUUCCCUUCGGGGACCCUGACUGGGAAAGCAUUCGUAAGUCGCUCGCCUCGCGCAUCCAAUCCCAAAUUCAAUGUUCAGCUAUCGACGCCGAGCCCUGCGGGGCUUCGAGUGUCACCGCUGUUUGACAACGGAAGUAGUGGUAGAUCGCGGAUUUGAGAAUCCUUGUUGAGAGACUUUCUAUUUCUUGUUUGUAGAUUGUCACUCGUAAGUAAGAUCGCGCGUGCUCUGCUUGACUAAAAAACAGCUAUGUAGUCAAGCGAGCGAAGGCAUGUGGAGGAUGCCUGGGCACACGGAGGCGAGGAAGGCCGUGGUAAGCUGCGAUAAGCCAGGGGGAGCGGCACACACGCACUGAUCCCUGGAUGG